CUGGUACUGAUUAAAUGCAGUUAAACGUCAGGUGAGAGCAUAUGGCCUUGACAAAUGGAGAAAUGUUCCAGCCAAGGGACUAAAGCAACGGACUUCUAUUUUGAGGUCAAAAAUAUUUACCUAUUCACUUCAAAAGCACUGGAACUUCUCUGUAGUAUAUCUGAAUUGAGAGUAUCACUACUCUGUACUCUGGGGUCAUUACUGAAAAACUAA
rnacentral:lncRNA from 1 species